rnacentral:rRNA from 1 species
GACGAACGCUGGCGGCGUGCCUAACACAUGCAAGUCGAACGGGGUUAUUUCUUCGGAGAUAACUUAGUGGCGAACGGGUGAGUAACGCGUGAGAAACCUGCCUUUCAGUGGGGGACAACAGUUGGAAACGACUGCUAAUACCGCAUAAUGUCAUUUGGGGGCAUCCCUGAAUGACCAAAGAUUUAUUGCUGAAAGAUGGUCUCGCGUCUGAUUAGCUUGUUGGCGGGGUAACGGCCCACCAAGGCGACGAUGCGUAGCCGACCUGAGAGGGUGAACGGCCACACUGGGACUGAGACACGGCCCAG